AGAUGAAGGAGCAAGGAUCGAGGACAUGCCUAUGCAACUUCCGGAGUAUCUUGUUGAUGAAGUUUUCAUAACAUGGUCUCAAAGAUGUAGAUGAACAAUGAGCUUGCCGGAUACACCACCUUUCGAUGAUACAUUUCAGAACUUCCAUAGCAAGAAGUGGUCAACAACCACGACAUGCAGCCUUUUCUAUGCCAAGUUCCAGACUUCCAGUACGGGAACCCUGAUGCCGUGUGCUCCCCGCUGAACAAUGCAAAGAAGAAUGGGAAAGACUUGGUGUUCUCAAAGGAUAUAAGAAAGUUAGGAGAUGCAAUCACAUGGUGAUGAUAACGGUGAAGCAACAGUUUUUGUUGUUGUCGCAACCUACAAGCAAAUGCAGAUGUGGUUGACAACUAUGGCACAUGUGGCUUGGUCAAAAGAAGAAAGUGCAAACGGCGGCUUAUGAUUUCUACCUCAACGCAUGCCCCGGCAGGCAAAACAACAUGAAAAUAUAAGGUAGGGUGGAUUAGUGUUAAAGCAAUUUUGUUGUCAAGGUAAUGGCUCAUGCUACAAAGGUUUUAUGAAAUGAGUGCCUCUGCAGCAGUAGGAUCAAAUGCACCAGUAUGAAACUGGGCCUAACCAUGUUGUAUGUUCUUUCUAGGAGAUCAGAGCAUGUUUCCUUUUUUGCCAUGCCUACAUCUCGAUGUAGGUAAUGCUAUUUUUAUUUGGCCGUGAUAUUAUUAUUAGCGUAAGGAUCAUUUGGUGAAAAAUCAUAUCAGCCUUCUCUCUAAUAAGUAAACUUAAUAGUAUGUUAUAGUGCAUCAUUACCAUACAAAGCAAUCUGACUUGACAAGUGGAUGUUAUAAUUUCUGUUUGCUUGAAAUGGGAGUUGAGGGUUGAUUUGUGCAAUAUUUGGCUAUGGUUAUUCUAUUACAAGUGCAUAUCCCACAUUUGAUUGAUUUACUGGAAAACUUGCAUUGAAAUUAGAUAAUGGUUUCUUGCACACCACUUUCCUUUCUCCGGAUGCCAUAUAAUAAUAACAGCUACACAGUUCAACAUGAUGCC